rnacentral:piRNA from 1 species
CUAGGAGUUGGAAUAGGAGCUUGCUCCGU